AGAGCUAGAAGUUCUUUUGUUAAAACAGAGUUGGACCAUUAUUUAGAGGAGGAUGUUUUACCAAGAACUGCUGAUUUUGAUAUUUUGAUGUGGUGGAAGUUGAAUGGUAUCAAGUAUCCAACACUCCAAGCAAUUGCAAGGGACAUUCUAGCUAUUCCUAUAUCUAUAGUAGCUUCAGAAUAAGCAUUUAGCACUAGUGGUCAAAUUUUAAGUCCUCAUCGUAGUCGACUUCAUUGGAGCACUUUGGAGGCCUUAAUGUGUACUAGAAGUUGGUUAUGGAUAGUUGAAACUUCUGGUUAUGAGAAUUCUAAAGUAAUCCAUGAAUUUCCUAUUUUACUUGAUGAAAAAGGAUCGGAUGAUGAAGAUGAAAUGAUGGAGGAUAGUGACAUUACUUUCCAUUUGGAAGAUGAUCAAUAAAUGAAAGAUGUAUGAUGGAAUGAUGAAUUGGAAUUGCUGCUACUUUUUAUUUGUAUUUAAUAAGUUUAAAUAUUGUAUUUUUUCUAGUUGCCUUGGUCUUUUUUUUUUAAUGAAAAAAUGGUAUUUUGUAAUUUUGUUAGAUUGAGACAACUUUAUGAUAUUACUACAAACUUUGUUGAAUUGAAAAAUAUUAUAUUUCAUUAUAA